rnacentral:rRNA from 1 species
UACGGAGGGUGCAAGCGUUGUUCGGAAUUACUGGGCGUAAAGCGCGGGCAGGUGGCCCGUUAAGUCUGCGGUGAAAUCCCGGGGCUCAACCCCGGAUAUGCCGCGGAUACUGGCGGGCUAGAGACUGGUAGAGGCGAGUGGAAUUCCUGGUGUAGCGGUGGAAUGCGUAGAGAUCCGGAAGAACACCGAUGGUGAAGACAGGCCGCUGGGCUUGUUCUGACGCUGAGGCACGAAAGCGUGGGGAGCAAACAGG